rnacentral:rRNA from 1 species
UACGAAGGGGGCUAGCGUUGCUCGGAAUUACUGGGCGUAAAGCGCACGUAGGCGGCUCUUUAAGUCGGGGGUGAAAUCCUGGAGCUCAACUCCAGAACUGCCUUCGAUACUGGAAGACUCGAGUCCGGGAGAGGUGAGUGGAACUGCGAGUGUAGAGGUGAAAUUCGUAGAUAUUCGCAAGAACACCAGUGGCGAAGGCGGCUCACUGGCCCGGUACUGACGCUGAGGUGCGAAAGCGUGGGGAGCAAACAGG